GUCUUUAUUGUCAGAAGCAAAUAAAGCAAGGAAAUCAAGAGCUGUGGUUCCCAGCCAGUGCAGUGACUCAGGUGUAGAAACCACGGGGAAGUCUGGACUCUGUCUGAGCUAAACUGUGAGAAGGGGCUGUCACCCAA